GCUUACGGCCACACCGCCUGCUUCACGCCCGAUCUCGUUUGAUCUCGGAAGCUAAAAUAGGGUGGGCCUGGUUAGUACUUGGAUGGGAGACCGCCUGGGAAUACCAGGUGCUGUAAGCU
ensembl:rRNA 5S_rRNA 5S ribosomal RNA